UGGGGAAUAUUGUACACUGGGCGAAAGCCUGAUCCAGCCAUUCCGCGUGUGUGAAUAAGGUCUUCGGGUUGUACAGCCCUUUAAGUUGGGAGGAAGCUCAGUAAGCGAAUACCUUGCUGUUUUUACGUUACCGACAUAAUAAGCACCGGCUAACUCUGUGCCCGCAGCCUCGGUACUACAGAGGGUGCAAGCGUUAAGCGGAAUUACUGGGCGUAAAGCGCGCGUAGGUGGUUCGUUAAGUUGAAUGUGAAAGCCCCGGGCUCAACCUGGGAACUGCAACCAAAACUGGCGAGCUAGAGUAGGGCAGAGGGUGGUGGAAUUUCCUGUGGAGCGGCGAAAUGCGUAGAUAUAGGAAGGAACACCAGGGGCGAAGGCGACCACCUGGGCGCAUACUGACACUGAGGUGCGAAAGCGUGGGGAGCAAACAGG
rnacentral:rRNA from 1 species